CGUUUGUUUAGCUAAAUUUCCCACACGCCAAGCAAAGAAAAAACAGAAAAACAAUAAAUACAAAAAAAUGAAACGUCUUGUACCUAUCGUGCUUCGCUGAAUCUCUCUCUACGAGAUCUUCCUUUGCAUCGAUUGCUUCUCGAUGCAGGUCUCUCUCAAUUUCUUACCAGCGAUCCUUUUCUUCACACAAAGAAAUCGCACAACAAUUCCUUAUCUAGACCAGACUCAAUUGAUUGCAAAACUCAAUCAAACCUCGGAACGAAUCGGUACGUAGUAGUCAGAGAGAGCGAAAUACGAAACAUAUGAUCUAUCGUGAACGUUUUAAGGACUGGUGCUGUGAAUACUGCUACCGGAUCUGCAUACGCAGAGUUUGGAAUCCAAGCCCUGCAAUCAAGCGCAGGACAAAAGAAAAUGGAAACUAUGUCGAUUUAGAUGUAAAAAAUUAAUGUUUUACGACUAUCAUCGAUGGUAAAUUAGAAGAGGAGCUCCCAAAAGGGCUAAUUCUUGUUAUGCAGCGGGGGAACUUUAGACUGCACAUAUGACUAUAUUUUAUGGUUGGCAAGUGUUUGUGUUUAGUGAUUUUCCUGUGGACAAAGCUAAAGAAGUCAUUCUCUUAGCAUGCAAGGGAAAUGGACAGAGUUGCACAACAUUUUUUUCUUCUUUCGAGAGUGAUAUCACUACUAAACCGGUAGAA